AAGGUUUUAAGUUAAUAAAACUAAUAGCCUUCAAAGCUGUAAAUAAAAUACUUAAUUUUAAACCUUA
rnacentral:tRNA from 1 species